rnacentral:tRNA from 1 species
UGUGCGGUGACUUAGUUGGUUAAAGCGCCGUACUAGUGAUACGAAAUCGUGGGUUCGAAUCCCACCAAAACAA